rnacentral:rRNA from 1 species
GACGAAGGUGACGACCGUUGCUCGGAAUCACUGGGCAUAAAGCGCGCGUAGGUGGCUGGGCAAGUCUAUGGUGAAAUCCCUCGGCUCAACCGAGGAACUGCCGUGGAAACUGCCUGGCUUGAGGACGGGAGGGGUGAGUGGAACUCUCGGUGUAGCGGUGAAAUGCGUAGAUAUCGAGAGGAACGCCGGUGGCGAAAGCGACUCACUGGACCGUAACUGACACUGAGGCGCGAAAGCUAGGGGAGCAAACAGG